rnacentral:rRNA from 1 species
CCCUUAGAUGUUCUGGGCAGCACGCGCGCUACAAUGGUCUUCGCAAACGGAUGCAUUCUCGAAGGAGAAUGCCAAUCUUGGAAUCUAUGCCUUGGUCGGGACAGUUGCUUGCAAUUUUUCGACUCGAACCAGGAAUUCCUUGUAAUCGUGAUUCAUCACAUCACGAUGAAUACGACCCUGCCCUUUGUACACACCGCCCGUCGCUCCUACCGAUCGAAGAGUUAGGUGAAUUGUUUUGAUCGAUAAGAUUUGACUAUGGUCAACUCUCGUUGUGAAAUUCUGUGAAUCUGACUGUUUAGAGGAAGGAAAAGUCGUAACA